AUUGAACGCUGGCGGAAUGCUUUACACAUGCAAGUCGAACGGCAGCACGGACUUCGGUCUGGUGGCGAGUGGCGAACGGGUGAGUAACAUAUCGGAACGUAUCCAAUAAUGGGGGAUAACGAGUCGAAAGAUUCGCUAAUACCGCAUACGCCCUACGGGGGAAAGCUGGGGACCUUCGGGCCUGGCGUUAAUGGAGCGGCCGAUAUCUGAUUAGCUAGUUGGUGAGGUAAAGGCUCACCAAGGCGACGAUCAGUAGCUGGUCUGAGAGGGCGACCAGCCACACUGGAACUGAGACACGGUCCAGACUCCUACGGGAGGCAGCAGUGGGGAAUUUUGGACAAUGGGCGCAAGCCUGAUCCAGCCAUUCCGCGUGAGUGAAGAAGGCCUUCGGGUUGUAAAGCUCUUUCGCAAGGGAAGAAAACUUAGCCACUAACAUUGGUUGAGGUUGACGGUACCUUGAUAAGAAGCACCGGCUAACUACGUGCCAGCCGCCGCCGUAA
rnacentral:rRNA from 1 species